rnacentral:rRNA from 1 species
CAAGGAGCGACCUAGGGCAAAACUAGUAACUGGGGCUAAGUCGUAACAAGGUAGCCGUACCGGAAGGUGUGGCUGGAACACCUCCUUUUUGGAGCUUA